rnacentral:sRNA from 1 species
UAAGAACCACUGCCGCCGAACGACCACC